UACGUAGGGGGCAAGCGUUGUCCGGAAUUAUUGGGCGUAAAGCGCGCGCAGGCGGGUGAUUAAGUCAGAUGUGAAAGGCUACGGCUCAACCGUAGAGUUGCAUUUGAAACUGGUCACCUUGAGUGCAGGAGAGGAGAGUGGAAUUCCCGGUGUAGCGGUGGAAUGCGUAGAGAUCGGGAGGAACACCAGUGGCGAAGGCGACUCUCUGGCCUGCAACUGACGCUGAGGCGCGGAAGCGUGGAGAGCGAACAGG
rnacentral:misc_RNA from 1 species